GUGCUUGCUUCGGCAGCACAUAUACUAAAAUUGGAAGGAUACAAAGAAGAUUACCAUGGCCCCUAUGGUAGG
rnacentral:snRNA from 1 species